AUCCAACUAACAAGUCCCGAAUAGGACGAAAUACGUAUCCCGGAU
rnacentral:hammerhead_ribozyme from 1 species